GUUCCAGCUCCAAUAGCGUAUAUUAAAGUUGUUGCGGUUAAAAAGCUCGUAGUUGGAUUUCUGUCAAAGGUAAGGCGGUCCAUCUUAUGGAUGUGCAUCUGCCUAUGCCUUGGCAUCCUCAUGAAGAACGUUUUCGCGCUUCACUGCGUGUUUACGGUAUUCAUGACUUUUACUUUGAGGAAAUUAGAGUGUUCACGGCAGGCAAUCGCUUUGGAUACAUUAGCAUGGAAUAAUACUAUAGGACCUCGGUUCUAUUUUGUUGGUUUCUAGAGCUGAGGUAAUGAUUAAUAGGGAUAAUUGGGGGUCUUUGUAUUGCAACGUCAGAGGUGAAAUUCUUGGAUUGUUGCACGACAAACUACUGCGAAAGCAUUGACCAAGGAUGUUUUCAUUA
rnacentral:rRNA from 1 species